UACAGAGGGGGCAAGCGUUAUUCGGAAUUAUUGGGCGUAAAGGGCGCGUAGGCGGAUGGCACAGUCAGAUGUGAAAUUCCCGGGCUUAACCUGGGGGCUGCAUUUGAUACGUGUUGUCUAGAGUGAGGAAGAGGGUUGUGGAAUUCCCAGUGUAGAGGUGAAAUGCGUAGAUAUCGGGAGGAACACCAGUGGCGAAGGCGACUUCCUGGCCUGUUCUUGACGCUGAGGCGCGGAAAAGCUAGGGGAGCAAAC
rnacentral:rRNA from 1 species